CCCCGCACCGGGAACCCCGCACCGUACCCUACAAAAACGGAACUGCUGCUGUGAAGCCGCGGCCGGCAGGAAGGAAAGCAAGAUCCUGGAGCAGACUGCGAGUACGAGCUCAUCAUCUGUGUAUGACACACAGAAUUCCACGCUGCCAUUCUUUUUCCAUGUCUCCAUGGCAAUAGCAGGCCCUUGCCAUCAUUCCAAAGCCGUGACUGUGGGAGCAACUGGAGACCUGCUGAAGGCAGGAGCUGCAUUCUCUGAUCUGCCACUGAGCUUACAGCCCUGACACAAGCUGCUCGUGACAGAAUGGUCUUCCUUUCCUUGAGAGAAUAUUUAUAUAUCUGUACAAGCCAUUUGAUACCAAAAGUUCCAGCCUCUGAGGCUCCAGCCUGCCCAACAGGUAUCAUCUGUUUGGAAUAGAGCCAGUGUGAGGCAAAGGCUGCAGUGAGGUGAAGGAUUCCCAUGAGCUCCAAAGCCAGUGCCAGCCCAGCAGGGUGCCAGGCAGCAGGGGCAAAGCACUGCCUCCUGCCCUUGCUCCCCUUGGAAAGUGAACUCUGGCACACACUGGAGAAGGAAUCCCAUCCCUGCAGGACACACAGACAGAGCUCCCAGCAGAGCUCCUCUUUCCAACCCUGAGUCACACUGUAUCAGCAAAAAACGCUCUUUGUUGUAUUAAUGGAAUUGUGUUUUGGGAAAACCCUUGAAGAUGCCUGCCAUUUGGAUUGGCAGUGCCUGCUGAAGAGAUUUUAACUGUACUGGCCUGUGUCCUUCAGUGCUGCCCAGAACCUGUUUAACUCCAGCUCCUGCUGCAGAGCUGGGCUGGAUUUCCAGGGGUGCCCAAGAACUGUGAGGAGGCCACAGAGCACACACAGCACAGCCCAGAGGGGAGGAGGAUCCGUACUGACAGCAGGACUCAGGACAGCCUCAGAUGGGGAGAAACAACUCGUGCCACACUGCCUGCCCAGAAGGAACUGAGGAGAAAGUCCAACAUCCAUCUCCAUCCCUCUGGAACUGGCACGUGUGACAGGCAUUAUGCUUUCCCAGCUUCUGAACUGUUCUACAGUCACACUCCCUGGCACCCUUUGCUGUGCCAGAUCUCAUUCCUGGUGUGGUUUAGGCUCCCUGGAAGCAGCACAACCACACACAACAGUUUUGAUUUGUUUCCCUGUGUGAGGAGCACAGCAUGGACCAGCUCCUCCAUGCAGCAACUGCCUGUACAGGAACACGUGUGGAAAACAAAGGGGCACCAUGGCUGGCAUGAAGAGCACCCACACAGCCAAAUCCCUGCUAGGAACAAUUUCAACACCACAGUGCAGGAGGAGCCUCUAAGCUCACUGGCAUCACAAAAAACACACGUAACAUUUUAUUUAUCACAACUGUACAAGUAUCCAAAGCUAACAUAUAAAAAUACAGUCAAAUUGUUACAAAAGCAUCAUCUGGAGCAGUGACAUGGAACUGCCACCAUCCCACCCCAGGGGCCAGCCCUGCAGCUUCACUUGGAGGGGAUCACCUUAUUUCCACUCACUGCCACGGGAAUCAGGAGCCUGCGGUACUCCAUGGGCAGGUGACGCUCGAUCAGCACCGUCAGGGGCACCUUGUCUGUCACCAGCCCCUGCCUGUGGCCAGAGAGAGCAGGGAGAAGCAAAGGUGUUAGUGAAAUGUGCUUCCACUCCAUACCAGAGUAGUUUUCUUGCAGUGAUGUUUUUGCACUUAGGAGGUGAAAUGCUCUGACUGCUUGUGACAAACGGCUCCAGACUCGUGUUUGCUCCUGUGCAUGCUGCAGAGCCAGGACUGCCCACACAGCACAGCAGACAGACCAGAGGGCUCCUGCAGAGCAGCUCCCACUGUUUACCAUGGGGAUAUUCAUCUGUAUUGAUCAGGACCAAAGCAGAGGCUCAUUGCUUUUUAAAUUCACCAUCCACCUGCCGUGGGAUAAAUUCUACCCUUUGAAGACGGCACAGAAUGAUGUGACAGAAGGAAAUAGCUCAGUACCCAGAUUUUUUUACAGUCACAACUCAGAGGUGGUUGGCAUUUGCUAACUGUGUAGGCCAUGGAGUUUUCCUGUACACCAUUUAGCUGACUGACCUGAAAAAAUCAGCAUCUCCCAGUUUUGUAGAAAGAAAGAAAGAAAGUGCAACAUUUAUUCAUACUUCCCAUGUGGAAGGAACAGAGAUGCUAUUCUUAUGCAUGAGCCAGCAACAAUUCCUGAUCUCUUUAUGAGGCAGUAAAAAGGCAGAAAGACAUCUAGAACAAGGUGAAACAACAAGUACAUGGAGUUCCCAAACCAGGACAAGUAACUCCUCAUGCCUUCUGGCCUGUUCAUACCAACCUCAGCACCUGUCAAGUGGGAAAACAAAAUCCCUGGAUCAGGACAGCAACAAAUGAUUCUCUUUAGGCAGCAGCACCAGCUCACCUACAGAGGCCCAUGCAAAGCCAGUGUCAUCAGCUGUGCCCUGUACUAUCCCCCAGGUGACUUUAACAUCACAUUUGAAACUCUUCCAGUGGAGACUAAGAACAACCACCCAGAGUAAUGAAUUUAAAUGAAAAGUGGUGGAUUGCUUCAGGCCUCACAGAGGGCUUCCAAGCCAAGAAUAAAUCCCUUUUAUUUGGUCACAGAACAAACUAAAUCCAGGCAGGAGAUGGGGCAACUAUGAACACCCAGAGGACAGAACACCAGUGAGGCAGCUCUGAGAACAGCUCUUCCAGGCUGCUGACAGGAAUGUUGCUUUAGGAGAGGCCAGCCCUGCCCACCUGGGCUGGGGGCUCUUUCUGCUGCUCUCAAGAGGAACUGCCAGUUUGGAUCCCAAGCAUCAGCUUGUGCAGCAACAGGAAGAGCUGUAUUUUGUUUGGAAGAGCAAGUCACCAAAACAGACAGCAGGACACGUGAAAAUGCUCAGUGUCAGUUGCAGAUGAUUUUAGCAAAGAGCUCACUCAAGGAUGCAAACAGUGCAGCCCAGCACUCCCUCUUAGCAUUUCUCCAGAUCCCACACUUACUAUACAAACACUGCUGGUGCACACUCUGGCAACAACCAGGUGUUACUGGGCUCUCAAAGCACCACCAAACACUGCUGCAAAUUCGUAAGAACCCUUCCAUUACCUUCUCAUCAGGACUUCCAGGUCAGCUGCCUCCACUGUCUUCCUCCCUGCAUGGUGGGCGUAAGCUUCCAGAUCAUUGCUCAGCUGCUUGAAGAAUCUCUCACAGCUGAGGGGGAAAUCAAACCAGACUGUGGAGUGUGUGAACACCAGCUACUCACCCCCUUCUGCAGGGCAAGCUGCACCACAGCUGCUCCUUGUGCAGGUCACAGCCUGCCAGGGAAAGCUGGGGGAGAAGAAACUCUCAGCCCACAAACAAAGCUUGGCUUCUCAGCCCAGGCUCCCUGGAAUUCCACUGCCAAGACAGCUGUGAGACAGCUGCACAACCAGCACCUUCCCACACCUCCCACGCCUGCAGGAACAGGGGCUGACAGCAGUGACACAGGAAUCAGCACUGAGGGUCAGAUACUGGCUGCUGCAGUGACAGUGCUCAGACAAUACACAGACUUUACUCAUGAAGGCAACAAGGUCUAAGGGUGCAAAGAGCUGAGCAACCAGCAUUGCAAUGGAACACUGCACACCCUCACUGUGCCCAGCACGAUGGCCACUGUCCAGAGCCAUCCUGCUCAUGGAAAUUGAUAAAGACAAUCCGACUGCUGCAAUUUGUUGGGACAAAACCCAGAUGCUCCUGCAAGGCUGCACUGAUCAGAUACCCACAGAGCACUUAGCACAUUUCUGCCCAUUUGUAUCAGGCCUCCCAAGACUCUUUCCAGCUGAAGAGAGAGGGCUGUCAGAUUGUCAGCAGCACUCUCAACAGGUUUAUUACUUCAGGGGAGAAAAGAAAGAAAAACAAGAGUAAAAAUAAUGGAAAGAGCAGUUUGUUGCUACGUACCAUUUUUCAACAAUUUGGAAUGCAUCUCUGUUUACUGGCAUUUUAGCAAAAUGUCUGAAUAUCUUCUUUAUCAAACUCCUUGGUACUUGAGGCUCACGUGGUGUCUUUUUGGAUGUUCCUAAUCUCUUAGAAGCUUUCUUAGGCUGCUGUAGGGGAGACCUUUGAGAGGAAAAUUGAAAAUUCACACAUUGAAUGAACAAGGGAGAGGCAGAGAACACCAGGCUGAGUUUGGAAAAACCCUGAACUGAAGUGGAAUGGAUAAGAACUACCUUGAGCUCUUCAUUCUUUCUCCCUCCCAAUUCUUCAGAACUCUCACAGGGCAGUUUGCAAACAGCUCAUGUGGGUUGUAGGGUUUCCCACCCCCCUGCCAUUAAACAAGACUGUAAGUCCCAAAGGAAAUCAUAAUUCUCUUCCAUUCUAAAAUAGGAAAAAUUGUAACAUGGAAGAGUUAAGUGAAACCCAUGGACUCACUCAGAAUGUAACUGGAAAAGAACAGAAAAACACUAGAACCUCAGGCUAACACAUGCAAAACCUCAGAGAGGGUGUGUGGAUCACUUGACUCUCUCUAGUCCACCCAUAAGUGGGCAAAAGAAUUUUGUCUUCUUGCUUUAACAGACAAAGCUCUGAAGUCAUGGGCUAGAAAAUUCCUCCUGUUCCCUAGCACACACUACCAGUGGUUCUGAUGAAACCAAAUUUCUAGCCAAGAGGGUGCAAGUGUUAACUAAUUUGGAUUAAUGCAAAGGACAGGUUCACUUUCUGCCUCUAAGAGAGCUUCCUUUUAGUCAGCACAUGGCAACUGCACACAGCUUCAGGCUUCUGCAGUCAAUAUAAGUAUGUCAUUCCACAUGAUCAGUGUCCUGCCAUCUGUAAUUCCUCCUCUUCUGCAAGGGCCUCUGCAUCCCUUACUGGAGUCUGUGGCUCCAGAGUGGCUUACCAACUGAAAAACUCUUCCUAGGAAAAAUUUUGGCCUUUAGCACAAGAAAAUAUUACAAGAACAUUGGAAAGCCUUAAGGCAUCAGACCUGCUCCGGCACAGCACUGACGUUCACUCAAAGACUUCAGCACUGCUCACUCCCUGUGCCAGCUGCCAGAGCAGCUGGCAAAGGCAGGCUCUGCCCUGCCCCCAGCCCCACCUGUGCCAGGCUGGGCAUGGCUCAGGCUUACCUGGGAGCAGCAGAUUUUGCAACACGUGGCGUUGACAGGAGGUUGUUGGCUGGAGCACGGACAAACGCAGGAGUCUUCAUGGAAACCUCUGGAAAAAAGUACUGGAGGAGCUGAAGUCUCUAUCCAGAACUGCUGGAGCAGGCAGUGCUGCCAGCAGACAGAAUCCCAGCCAGCUCCCCACAUGCCUGUGCUCUGGCUGUGCCCCACAGCACCCCGAGCCAGCACAGCUGCUGGCUGCUGCAGUGCCACCCCCACAGCUCCUGUCACACAGGCUGGUGGCUUCCCUUGGGCCCCUGUGCUGGCCCAGCUGGCUGGCCAGGCUGCACAGACACACUCAGGAGCAGGCUGCAGUGGCUGAUGGCUGGGUUAAUUUAGGUUGCCACAAAGCUGCGUCCUUUUUAACCAGAGAGAACUUCAAAGUCUAGAAGUUACCUCUGUCAUCUUGCUAAGCCACUGGCAAAUUCUCCUGCACAAAGGGACAAGCUGAGCUACAGAGUGACACUACAAGGGCCAGACUAUAAACUUCUCCCUGUUUGCAGAUUUUUGCAACUCCCUCCAGGCAAGGCUCCUGUUAUCAGCAUCUCACCUGUUCUCUGCUAUGAACCCACAGCAGUUUCCUCCAAGUCUAAUCUGCACUGUCUUUAACUUCACUCUUGAACUUCUUCACUUAACAAGUAAGAGCAGGAAAGAAAACAAUGUUAACAGAAAUGCUGAGCAGAUUCCUUACCUUCACUUGCAGGGUGUUCAGCUUCAUCCUCAGCAGCCUCUUCCACUGAAUUAUCGAAAUUUAGCAUCAUAGCCUCGUCCUGUAGUUCAUCUCCUUGUUCAUCAGUUUCAUUUAAUUGAGUCACCUCAGGUUUUUCAAAUGAGGAAGAGGCAUGAGAGCGCCUGCCCAGACUUCCAGCUCCAAUGCCUCUGGUAAUCUCACGUUCUAGAUUUCCAAAACAGAAAAAAUAAAGCACUGAGACAAAUAUCUUUGCCUGAUUCUGAAACUCCCACUAGUAAAUUUUAAUCAAAGAUACCUGCUGUAACUAUACAUUUCUAAACCAAGUACAAUCUUGGUUUCUCUUUAAAUAAAAUGCAGUGUUCCAGCUUAAAAUGACAAAAUCAGUUUGAUAUUUCCCCAGAAAAACAAAGAAGAAGUUAAGACUCUCUCAGCACUGAUGCCAGUCAUGCAGCAUGAGAGCACCCUGGCACCAGAGAGCUGCCAGCAUUAGAGGUGUCCUCACCAGCUCUGGGAGAGCCGUGGGCUCCAGUGCUGCCUUCUUCCAGUUCCUCUCCUGCAGAAGGGGCCCUUUCUGCUUCACCUCUGCUGUGCUGUGCUGCAGUUAUCUGCAAUUCUGCUUUUUCAACCCGUUUCCUCUCCAAAUGUUCAGAGUAUCGAGCACUUGCACCAUGUUCUGGAGCUAAAAUAAUAAAUUCUAUCAUACAUCUCACCUACAAAAAACCCCAACCAACCACCAGCACACAGUUCAACCACCACUGGAAUUUAUUUGUGAUAAAUAAACUCAGCCACAAGACGUAAAAAAGAAGAGCAGAUGCAGUUCCCUUCAUAGCUGAGAAAUGCCCAACUUUUCCUGUGUUUGCUCCACAGCCACCUAAUUAGGGGCCCAUCAGAUCCCAAUAAAGGAAUUUUACUUACAGUAAGCAGAGCUCCUCCAGAUCUGCCAUCUCUAUGGCCAUUUUAAAUUUUGGUGACUGUGUAAAAGACCAAUUUACUUUCCUUUAAAUCUACCAAUACCUGGAGUUUGUGCUCAGAUUCUCCUCCUCAUUUCCUCCAUUUUUCUGAAUAAACAAUUUUGUAAGAGAUAUAUUCCAUUGUAGAGAGAAGAGAGCCUAGAGUGGUUUUAACCAUCCAGGACAAGCCUCUGGCAUACAGGAUGAGAAAUACACAGACACAUGACUUGCUUGUGUUUAAAAACUUGAUCUACUGACUACUUAAGUAUUCAGAUUUCCUUUAUAGUACAUAUAUAGUCCACAUAUCUGUUACUAUGUAGCUGAGUUAAGCAGAAGCACACAGAGGUAAUUACUUUGUGAAAACUGGGCACUCUGACAUCAUGACACACAUGACAAUGCUGUCACUCACUGAAGGGUUUGGAAGUCUUGGCUGAGUCCAGAACCAAAAGUUGUCAAACUGCACUUCUACCAUUUUACAGAAACCCAGCAACUGGGAGUUUUCACACUGAAAAGUACAAGUGUGGCAAGGCCUUGGGACCCCCAAGCCCAAGUGAAGGGCACAAGGAAAUCUGGGCAAAGGUAGUGCAAAAAUCAGUUAUAUCAAUUUCACUAACCAGAAUAUUGGGCUGCCUACAUCAACACAGGGUCUAAAGUGCAGUGAAAUAUUAACCAGCUUAGAUGAGCCAGAUGAGAGCUCUUCAUCUUUCCUAUGGGAAGCUGAGCAGUAGUACAGAUCUGCCAAAACAUAUGAACCUUUAUUCCACUUCCAGUCACAGCCCACUUUUAGAAAGCUUGUCUGGAAAUGUCCAAGUAUUUCUGGUAUGUCUUGAAUUAAAUUAUUUCCAGCAUCUACUGUACAACUAAGUCUUAUUUUACUCUGAGUAAAGUUUUAUUUUACAAGUCACCUGAAAAACUCUGUUUCAAUCAGAUUGUACUCCAUUCCCUUUCUACAAUGAAAGUACAUCUUACCCUCAGGGAAAAUCUUUUCCUGUUCCACUCCAUUCUCUGUAUUAAUCAUCUCUUCUUCUGUAUCACUUACUUCUAGGUCUUCGAUUAUAUGGGACACAACUUGUCUCAAAUACAUUCUGGAAACAUUUAGAGUGACUGGGGAUCCCAAAUAUGUACUUGAACUUUUGGAGGGCAGAGAGGAGCUCCGUCUAUAAACACCUAGAACAGAUCAUCAA